CACAAUUCCAUUACUCGGUAACAUCAAGAAAAACAGUAAUACAUGCUUGGAGUGAAUAGUACAAAUUUGGCCCAGGGAGUUGAAGGGUGAAGAUGAGAAACAUUUUUAGAACAUCAACCUUAGAGUGAAGAGGAAGAUGACCUCCUUCCCUAAACAGUACACCAGAACUUCUAAGAACAAGGAUAAGCCGCAAAGCCCCAAGUGGGUACUGGACCGUUCUCAAUGACUCAACGGUGCUAAGAUCUUCUGACUCCAUCCUGAACUCUGCUUGCCUUGAGCCUGCUCCUGUCGUGUGGCUUCCUCCUAUGAACCUGCCAGCCUUCACUCACACUGAUGUUGCUUGCACAGUCGAUGGCUUCCAAAGCUGACUGGACCUUUCAGCGCAUUUUUCUUUUUGUCCUGCCUUCUAUAAUUAUUGUAGA